CGCACUGUCAUUGGGGAGUAGCCAUCCUUUGUUUCCCCAAGGGAGUCAGCGUCAACAAGCUUGAGGUUCAACCUCAUGGCGCUGACGGCCUGACGCAGGGCAUUCGUGCCCGCCGUCAGAUGCCAGGCGAGACCUUUGGCCUCAUCGCGUUCACCCCCAGCCGGGCGAGCCGCGAUGUUGCGCCAAAGUUUUCUGCUCGUCCGGCUGCCCCCUAUGUUGCU
rnacentral:sRNA from 1 species